rnacentral:misc_RNA from 1 species
UCUCCGUUGGUGAACCAGCGGAGGGAUCAUUACAGAGUUGCGAAACUCCCUAAACCAUUUGUGAACCUACCCCCAAAACAGUUGCUUCGGCGGCGCCCUAGCCGGCCCGCCGGAGACCGCCAAACGCUUUGUUUUUACACUGGCCUCUCUGAGGAUGAAAAAAAACCAAUUAAAACUUUCAACAACGGAUCUCUUGGCUCUG